GCCCCUCCCCCUAGCUACUCUUGUGUGUGUGUUGCUCUCCUCUCAUGCAAUCAAUACACAUUAUACUGAGCUGCUCUGGUUGAUGUGUAUAAUUGUUUCUACAGGGACACUGGAGGAACAUGCAAGGACUCAUACUGGCACUCCUCACCUGGAUAGGAGGCUGGAAUGGCAGUUGUAUUUUACUGAGCAUUACAAUUAUGUAGUUACUGAGCAUUAUAAUGAGGUUCAUUACUGAGCAUUGUGUCCAAUUAGCAUGCUAUAAUGAUGUGUGCUGACCUCUGACCCCAAUCACCUCUUGUCAUAAUACAUGUUGUGAGCCGGCCGGAUACCACUAAUUGAACUCUAAUAGAGGAAGCGUCCAGUCUAUACAACGCACUGCUACUGCUCAAGUACAAGUCUGCACGAUAUGGAUCAUCUCUCUACGUACUGGCAGAAUUAACAAACUUCCUCCUCCUUAAAGACGAGUUGAAUGGCACUACAGAUAAAAGCCAUAGCCUGAGCGACACAAGCCUUUCUCACUAAAUGAAGGUCGCUGAAUCGCCCUCUGUACUUAUACAGAUAUAGUGACUCCGAAGAAGAAAUUGUGGACGUAUGGAACAGAAAGAGUAUAUAGAAGAAUAGCAGUUUAAUUAAAGUAGCUUCGUAAAGAACUCAUUAUUGUUGUUAUAAAACACUCUUUGUUUGGUUGGUGUGUAACAGGCCGUAACACAGUGCGUUAUGGCCUAUAUUUCAAUACAAUUGCCAGGGGGGGCGAGCGCCCCCCCCCCCUCUAUGAAGCCCUGGUGUUGCAAGAGUAUAUGGAGGCCUAACACAGUGUCUAUUAUGGUCGAUCUAGCCUGUGCAUACAUCUAGCAUAAUAAUUAUUUUAAUUAUAGCAUCCAUUACCUGAGGUGAGAAUGGAGAGUUGAAGGUUAUACUAUAUAUACACUUGCACUGUAUCACAGCCACGCACGUGCCAUGUGACAUUAAUUGCUGGGCAGUUAUUUUAAAGAUGGUGGAAUUGCGUAGAUAUAAGAAAAGUGGAGCCUUAUGGAGGUAUACUAUACAACUGGUGCAACAACAAAACAUGAUGACUUAAGUAGUGAACUGUAGGUGUUGUUCUGUAUAAUUGUUUCUUUUGUGCAAUAGGAACAAUAGGUGUCUCCUGCCCAUGAUGUAACCUCUGUAGAACUGAUAUUCUAGACCAUUCCAGCAUAACUAUAAUUAUGUUUUGUAUUUAAGUCACCAUGUAUUGUUGUUGCACCAGUUGCCAUCACAGUACCUUAUUGCUGUUAUUAUUCUACUGUUGAACAUCUUCAAUACUACAAGCUCCACGCUUUUGGGUCAAACUGAUCGUUACCCCAAACUGGUUAUUCUCUACACAUAGCUAUAGUUGUUAAAUAGAACUGUCCAUCUAUUUCAGGGAGAAAAGUAAAUUUUUUUGCUUCUGGUUGACAAAACAACCGCAUGUCUCGUGUGUACAGAUUCAUCCUGCAUUUUGGUUGCUAUAACCAAUAAAUGCUUUAUACCAUGGAUACUGAUGACUAUAUCACUCGUCCGUGUGCCUAGUAUAACUGUCACUCGUGCUUUGCAGGCAGUCGUGUAUUUACUGGCACAGACUCGUGAUAAUCUUCAGUAUUAUAUUAUCUAUGGAUAAUAUCAUAAUAACAGAUAAGUCAGUAAUUUGAUGUUGCCUUUCCCUGCGGAGAGAGAGCAGGUUUAAUAAUACAAUAGCACAAUAUACAACUAUUAAUCGAUCCUUUGUUGUACAACUUAUACUUGUGCUAUAAAUACUUCUUUUAAUUACAUACAUUUUGUUAUGACAUCAUCAUAUUUCUAGGGAGGAGGGUCCCAGGACGCCCACCCUCUCUACGAAACCCUGCCAGUAUUAGUGAAUGAUGCAUGAUGGGGGAAUUGCGUAUAUAAUAAGAAAAGUGGAGCCUUAGAGGUCAUCUGCCUCGUGAAAGUGAACACAAUUCUGAGAAAAACGCCCAUUGUCCAAGUUGUAUAUAGUCGACUAGAAGCUGUAUCCUGAACAUGUUUGUAUAAUGACUUUCCAAGAAUAAUUAUUACUUACUACACUUAUUCAAGAUACUAAUCCGACUUUUAAUUGCCUUAAUGGUUGUAAUUAAUUUUGUUUUAAAAGAGUGGGAACAAUCACUGCAUGCCUGUAACUGUAUUACUGUAUGGAUUUAGUGGAGAUAGUUAUACUAAGUAAUAGUCAGUCAGACGAAACACGAUGAAAUUUGAAAAUAGUGCAAUUUUUCAUAAGGUGUAGCAAUAAGUGUACUUUAAGCCUGUCUAAGCUCUAGUAGGUUGUUUUUGCUUCAAAUGGUUGUCACACUCUUUAUAUAGUGGCGCAUGUUUCCUCUUCUGAUACACUGGAGUACGAUAUAUAGAAAGCAAGCACAUGCAUGCUGUUUAUCCUUCAGCCAUUUUCAAAACAGAUUGCUGGUUGUCAAUUAACGUUUUUCUUGUCUUUUUUUUGGGGUCAAAAUCUUUUAGUAGCCUUCUGCAAGCUCUCCUGGUGUUGUGGAGUCUUAUUUCUUUGACUUUUAGCCGGCCUCCGAAAUUUGUCUUCAAGUGCCAGUGGGAGUAUAGAGUGUUUUUAGUUGUGUGCUUAUGUGUGUUUCUGUUAGUACCUGUUUAAUUUGGUUUAGUCAGUUGAAUUUGUGUUUAGGGUUUAUCAGUAGUGAACUGUAGGUGUUGUUCUGUAUAAUAUCUCUUGUGCAAUAGGAACAAUAGGUUUCAUGGCUUCUGAAGCUGUCUCCUGCCAUGAGGUUGAGCAGCAGUAUUGAUCGGAAGUGCCGGGAAAUCAAUAAUUGAACUUCAAUUAUUCAUGGCGUUUGAGCGUCAUCUGCUCAAGUUGCAAUACUUCGUAACGUUCCCUCGAACAUAUCUCCGGAUAGAAAAUAGCUAAGAGGUCGAUCUUGGUAUCAUUUUGAAGCUUAGAGAACGCUUUAUCCGAUUCAACAAUAAAAAUAAACUCGGGUAUACCCGCGUUAAGGGUUGUUUUCCUAGGCCCUGUCACAUAUAAUAUUAUAUAUAGUUUCUUUUCGUAUUAAUUUUAACAAAUACUUGUCUCCUGUGAAACUGUGGCUUAUGCUCUCUAUUGCGUUGUCAAGAAGACUUGCUGGCUAGCUGUGGCCCUCUGUGGUGUUGUCGACACACUAGUUUGAAGCCAGAAGAAGCUUUCAUUUGUAAAAACCAAAUCACGACCAUCCAACGAUCAUAAAAGUAGUUUCAGACUAGUGUGCAAGCCUUCUCGACAACACCAUAGCAGUGGCGGAUCCAGGGGGAGAUCCCAGGGUGCCACGGAUCCCCCCUUUCAGUCUAGCUAUUGUGGCUUACUACAGCUACCAGCUAGCUAUUUAUCAGUUUUGUAGCUAUUGUAAAAAGUUUUGAUUCAAUGAUUGUACCUGCAUGUUGUUUUGAUGCACCAAUUGCCAAAGGAGUGUUCAGGUUAGCUUAGGUUAGCUAUAGUUGACUGUUUGUACUUCCAUGUAUAGAAGUCCCUGGCAUACUAGCACUGAUCAUGGUCGAUCAUUUUCCGCUUUUACAUUUAGAUCUACUACUGUCCUCCACGAGGCAUCAGCACCCGCGGUGUUUUCAUUGGUUAGGGUUUCUAAGACAAUGUACUGUACAUUCCUGACUAUAGCCUCGAGAUCAGGCCGAUUAAAAUACGGCCUGGUAUCUAUUGCAUGGGUGAUGAUAGUGCACAUGCACAAACUGAGUUCCCCAGAAUCUGAGGAUUUGUUCUACAUUAGGAAACUUUUGUAAAAUUUAUUAUAAGUAUAAUAAUAGUUCGUUUACUAUAAGUUCAAAUACUUUGUCUCCGUGGCUUAUGCCUUCUAUUCCGUUGUUGAGAAGGCUUGCACACCAUUCUGAAGCCAGAAGAGGCUACCUCUACAAUAGUCGUAUGGUCGUAGUUAAUUUGGAAGCAUAAAUUUACAGAUUUUCCAUGGUCUGUACAGAAAAUAAGUUCAAACAUUCCGACCAUACGACCAUUAUAGAGGUAGAUGAGAGCUAGCCUCUCCUGGUUUCAGACUAUAAUUAUAGUGUGCAAAUAAGCCUUCCUAAUAGAGGGCCACAGCUAGCUAGCUAAUCUUCACAAUGGGCAUACAAUAGAUAGUACAUGGGCGUGGACGGACCACACCUAUAUGAUACCAUGGCCAUGCAAGCCGUAUUUUAAUCGGCCUGGAUUCGAGACUAAUUCCUGACAUGCGCAUCACUAUAUAGGAGCUGUGACCAGGGAUGGACUAACUCCACUGGGACUGGCAGUCAGUAGGGGACACCUGGACACCACAAAGUUCCUCAUCAUGAAAUGCAAUGCGGCUGUUAAUGAAAGAGAACUGCAAAUACGGCGUUGAAGAUGCCAAGAUCAAGCUUCAAAAACAAGGCUAGAUGAACAUCUCAUAGCUAGGUACUGGUAUCCUUGAUGGGAAGAGUAGGAGUUAUUGUAUUCUUGAGAUACACAAAAUAGCCUACCUCUAGGGUGGCUGUCAGAGCUAAAGAAGCUAGCAUAGCUAAGAAAGUUUUAGACAUUUUUACUUCCCAUCAAUGAAACAUAAUCAUAACAACAUACUCUAUCUUUUGAGGGCCUAAACAGCUACUCUAAGUCCGCCGUAUUAAUUUGUUGCCAAAGAUAAUCUAUAAUAGUUCUAGCAGCUAGCUAAGUAGCCUCGGUCCCAGGCCGAUUUUUUUUAAUAGAACGAAGUUGAAAAAUACGACCUGAUAUUGAUUGUAUCUGGGCUUGGCAGGAACCAGAAACUAAAGCAGAGAUUCUUCACAUUUUGUUUCCUGCUUUUUUUCUGUAAUACUAAAGGUGUACGUAGAGGCAUUUUACUCCCAUAAAAGUUACAGUAAUGUAGCUCCGUGUCAUGUUCUCAAUUUACAGCUAGCUAGCUAUGGCAUACAACGCGUUGCGUUGUCUUGUUUGAAGCAAGAUGGCCUCACUCUCAUGGCAGAACAGGCCCAGGCUCUCAAGCUACUGUUUGAGGGAAGGGACGUGUUUAUCUGGUUCCCAACGGGGUAUGGCAAGUCUCUCUGCUAUAUCAGUUGCUACCCUUUUUAAUGGACUACAAGCUAGGUAGGACCAAGGCUCCUCCUGUUGACAAAAGUGUUGUUCUUGUCUCCCCUUGUAUCUCUCAUCAUGAGACUCAUGAUUGACCAGGUCAGGAGUCUAAACAAUAGAGGUGUUUCUGCUGCCAUCCUCAGUAGCAAUAAAGGAAUCGACAAAGAUUUGGUUGCCACUGCCAAAGAAGUGUCUUCUGGGAAGUAUUUCCUGCUGUAUACUGCCCCAGAGGCUGUUGUUGAAGACCACUGUUGGAGGAUUCAUUUUUUGUUGUAACACAGAGUCAAUUUGUUUUAUGUAUUAAAAAACCACGCCCAGAUCACGCCCAAAUACAAUCAAUACCAGGCCUAGUAGGCGACCUAGCGUUCAAUUGGAGACGGAUCAGCCUGGGAUCGAGGCUACUAGCUAAGCAAAUACAUUGACCUUAUGACGUCAUGUGCAAUGAAUAACAUUAAUAAACAUUAUGAAUCUCAUUAACACUACAUCAUCUACAUCAUCUACAGUGCAACAACAAAGAGAGUAGAUUUUUUUUUUGGGUACACAUUUUUUACAUUUUGUGGCAUAUCUUCUAAAGUAAAAGUGAUAUGAUCUAUUUGAGUGCAGGUACUUAAAGUUCAACUAUUGGCGCUUCCAUUGGACCACCACCUGUUACAUCACAUGACAUCAUCAGUAUAA